AAAGGAUCACGCUGACCUCCACUUUCAACAAGUUGCCUCUAAGCAUGAAGUGACCCUAAGAGAUAGGAAGAUAAGGAGGGACAAUCUUUUGAUCUAAUCUAAGAGGUAAUCUAAUUUUAAUGCAAGUGGAAGAACUGAAAAGCUGCACAGAGUAUAAAAAGAAGGACUAAGGUAGUAGAGAAAGAGGAUCUUCCCUUUGCCAGCCACUGUUUCUAAGCUUAUCUCCCACAGACCUUUAUAUAUAUAUAUUUUUUUUUGAAGACCUGGAA